rnacentral:miRNA from 1 species
UCGUUGUGUCCAUCAUCAUCAUCAUCAUCAUCAUCAUCAUCAUCAUCAUCUCCAUCAGCGAUGGAGCGUGAUUGAGAGAAAGAGAGCAGAUACAAAGUAGAG